AACCUCCGCAAUGUGAGAAAUCGCGACGGGGGGAUCCCAAGUGCCAUUCUUAACGGGAUGGCUUUUCAUUAGUGUAAAGAGCUUUUGGAAUAAGGGCUGGGCAAGACCGGUGCCAGCCGCCGCGGUAACACCGGCAGCUCUAGUGGUAGCAGUUUUUAUUGGGCCUAAAGCGUCCGUAGCCGGUUUAAUAAGUCUCUGGUGAAAUCCUGUAGCUUAACUGUGGGAAUUGCUGGAGAUACUAUUAGACUUGAGACCGGGAGAGGUUAGAGGUACUCCCAGGGUAGAGGUGAAAUUCUGUAAUCCUGGGAGGACCGCCUGUUGCGAAGGCGUCUAACUGGAACGGUUCUGACGGUGAGGGACGAAAGUUAGGGGCGCGAACCGGAUUAGAUACCCGGGUAGUCCUAACUGUAAACGAUGCGGACUUGGUGUUGGGGUGGCUUUGAGCUGCUCCAGUGCCGAAGGGAGCUGUAAUCCGCCGCCUGGGAAGUACGGUCGCAAGACUGAAACUUAAAGGAAGU
rnacentral:rRNA from 1 species